rnacentral:rRNA from 1 species
UACGUAGGUGGCAAGCGUUGUCCGGAUUUAUCGGGCGUAAAGGGAGCGCAGGCGGUGACUUAAGUCUGAUGUGAAAGCCCACGGCUCAACCGUGGAAGGUCAUUGGAAACUGGGUCACUUGAAUAUAGAAGAGGAAAGUGGAAUUCCAUGUGUAGCGGUGAAAUGCGUAGAUAUAUGGAGGAACACCAGUGGCGAAGGCGACUUUCUGGUCUAUUAUUGACGCUGAGGCUCGAAAGCAUGGGUAGCAAACAGGAUUAGAUA